rnacentral:lncRNA from 1 species
GAGUUCUUAAGUUUCAGAUCUGAUAGUUAAUCAUGCAUGAAAGUUUUAGCAUAAUUGUUUAAACGAUUCCGGCAUAAUCCUAUGUGUUCUUAAGGUGCUGAUUUCUAGAUUUGAUCUUGUAAGCAUGCAUGAAUUAAAUUGUUUGAUUCGAUUUUUUUGCUGCGUUUUAAAACUUAAAAAGAACUAUGUAUGGCUUGAUCCCCCUUAUGAAGGGGUACGUAGGCAACCCGAUCAGGUUCAGCCAUGGUUUAA